UACGUAGGGUGCAAGCGUUAAUCGGAAUUACUGGGCGUAAAGCGUGCGCAGGCGGUUUUGUAAGUUUGUCGUGAAAUCCCCCGGGCUCAACCUGGGAAUUGCGAUGAAGACUGCAAGGCUAGAAUCUGGCAGAGGGGGGGGUAGAAUUCCACGUGUAGCAGUGAAAUGCGUAGAGAUGUGGAGGAACACCGAUGGCGAAGGCAGCCCCCUGGGUCAAGAUUGACGCUCAUGCACGAAAGCGUGGGGAGCAAACAAGG
rnacentral:rRNA from 1 species